rnacentral:lncRNA from 1 species
AUCCGUUGCUUGUUUGAGGAAAGUAUGCAUGAGUUAGUACCGGUCUUCUAAUGCCACCAUUCCUUGCUCAGGUCAAAACGGAAAUAAGAUUGACUCGAACAAGACCGGCUUCCUAUGAAAGUGAAAGGCAGGAGCUCUUGUAUAAAAAGAAACAUCCUUUUCUUUGGGUAUCUCGAAUGCCUGUUCGAGGAUGUACUUUUAGGUCUUGAUCGAGAGUGCUUCCUUUCGUGCCUUUGGAGUCUAGAAGAAGGCACUUCUUUAUACGUUUCCGAUUGGCGGGCACUGAACACUUUUCAAGAUCCGG